AAAUUUACAGUGCAUUUUCUUGUAAGUUACAGUGUAAUUUAUGAAACUUACAUUGUAACUUUUGUAAGUUACACUGUAAUUUUUGAAUCUUCGCAUGUAAAUUUUAAAUUUUGUAUUGGAUUUGGUCUUUUUCUUUUUUAUUGGAUUUGGUCUUUUUCUCGAGGAUAUGGUAA
rnacentral:snRNA from 1 species